rnacentral:rRNA from 1 species
AUACGGAGGGGGCUAGCGUUAUUCGGAAUCACUGGGCGUAAAGGACGCGUAGGCGGGUUGGCAAGUCAGAUGAGAAAUCCUACAGCUUAACUGUAGAACUGCAUUUGAAACUGCUAACCUAGAGUAUGGGAGGGGGAGAUGGAAUUAGUGGUGUAGGGGUAAAAUCCGUAGAUAUCACUAGGAAUACCGAAAGCGAAGGCGAUCUCCUGGAACAUAACUGACGCUAAGGCGUGAAAGCGUGGGGAGCAAACAGGAUUAGAUACCCUAGUAGUCC